GUGGGGCGGAGCGCGGGCCGCUCCCGUACCGGACUCGGGGUCCCCCCCAACGCCUUCUCCGCCGCCGCCUUCGCCUGCAUCUCGGAGACAGGCCGAGCGCCGAGUACCCCGAAAGUGCCCAGCGAGUGCCAGGCUGGGGUCACCCCCGCCUCCUCUUACCCCUACACCCCGCCUGGAUCUCCCUGCCUGCCCGGGCCGGUUGGGGUUCCUGGGGAUGGGAUUUGCUUGUGUGGUACAAAUCACAUUGCCAGGGAAUUCCAACCGACCCGGGGCCCUGCCAACGUCGCCAUCGCUGCCUCGCUGCCUGCCCGCCCGCCUGCCCGCUGCUGCCGCUGCCCGGCCCGAGGAGCAGGGCUUAGCCGCUUGUGAACAGGGUCCCCUCUCUGUUCGUGUUCACAGUGGCUAAGUUCUGCCCCCCUGACCCCUGACCUCGGCCGCUGCUGCCUGCCCACCUGCCCGUCUGCCCGCCCGUCCUCCGGGCACCCUGGGCUCCGCCUCCAGUACCUACUGAGCUGAAACAGUCUUUCACUCACACUGGCUCAGUUCAGCAGGAACUGGAGUCGAGCCCCCUCUUGGAAGCUACGAACGCCCUGCCACUGCCCUGCCUGCCCAUGGCGGGGCCCAGGCAGAGAGAGAAGGUGGCCGGGAGGGACAAGCUGCUUUGCGGGGAGGGUUCUUCGGUCUGGCCCUGGAGGAGAGAGAGGCCAGCAUGUCACAGGUGGCUUGAACCGGUGGCUCUCCGCUUGUGUGGAGUUGGGAACAGCCCAGACUCCUGUCUGCUGUCCCCGGGUCGGCUGGGCUGGGUGGGCUGGCCGAGGCAGGCCCCCCAGGCCCCCAUUCUCCGCCCUGGGUGGGGGCCCGACAGGGGUGAGGGAGGGUCUGUCUCUGUCCUGUUGUCCGAUGGAAUAAAAAGAGAUCUCAGCUGUGCGCUGCAA